GCUGGGCACGGUGGUGCACACCUGUAGUCCCAGCUACUUGGGAGGCUGAGGCAGGAGGAUCACUUGAGCCCAGGAGUUUAAGGCUGCAGUGAGCUGCAGUAGUGCCUCUGCAUUCCAGCCUGGGUGAUAGAGUGAGACCCUGUCUCUA
ensembl:misc_RNA Metazoa_SRP Metazoan signal recognition particle RNA